GGCAGCCUACGGGAGGCAGCAGUGGGGGAUAUUGCACAAUGGGGGGAACCCUGAUGCAGCGACGCCGCGUGGGUGAAGGAGUAUUUCGGUAUGUAAAGCCCUAUCGGCAGGGAAGAAGCAAGACGGUACCUGACUAAGAAGCCCCGGCUAACUACGUGCCAGCAGCCGCGGUAAUACGUAGGGGGCGAGCGUUAUCCGGAUUCAUUGGGUUUAAAGGGUGCGUAGGUUGUUUUUUAAGUUAGCGGUGAAAUACCGAUGCUCAACAUCGGGGCUGCCGCUAAUACUGUAGGACUA
rnacentral:rRNA from 1 species